rnacentral:lncRNA from 10 species
AAUCAAACUGACAAACUGACAAUUUGAGAUACAAUUCAAUUGAGAGAUUACAAGUCUUAAUGCCGGACAUCAGCAAUCAAAGAAAUAAACUUUCUGUUUACUAUCUGUUCCUUCCUCCUCACUUUUCUCAGUCUCUGGAACUAUGUGGAAGCCAAAGAGGGCAGUAAACAGCAGACACUUUAUAGGCAAAAUUUUCACAGAAUAAAACAAUCAUAGCAACUCAUGUGGAGAUUUAACUAAAAUGUCAUCUACUUCCCAACUUUUAGUUACAAUAGAGCUAGUAUCACAUAUCUAUAAAGGAUCUUGGAUAUAUUCUCCCAAGUCAUCAAACCUGAGGUAUAAACUUCAAUGUCUAUGAAGUGAACUGCUUGCCUCCUUAAGGAAAAAACUUUCUCUGGGCAGUAACUGAACCCAGGAGUCCUGAGUCAGGGGCUAAACAUCUCAUUGUGUUUCCUUCUUUUAUCAAGGCACACCUGUUCCUAAUUGCAUUCUUUAUUUCUAUUUAUAUUUUUAGACUGGAGAAGUGCCAGGAGGAUUAAUUACAGCAGUUAAUGUUUCCAUUUGAAAGGAGAUGAUACUCUGAUCGAAUUAUACUCUGCUCCUUGCCCCAUCUAAUAUUUAUUUGCACAUUAAAGAUAACACGACUGGCUAGAAUUGGCUUCUGAAUAUGUGUGCUCCUUAUCAAGGCCACAGUUUACAGCUUUGCUAGGGAGAGCUAUGGUAAUGAACUACUUGAUCUUUUUUUUUUUUUUUUUUUGAGACGGAGCCUCGCUCUGUCGUCCAGGCUGGAGUGCAGUGGCGCGAUCUCGGCUCACUGCAACCUCCACCUCCCAGGUUCAAGCAGUUCUCCUACCUCAGCCUCCUGCGUAGCUGGGACUACUACAGGCGUGCGCCACCAUGCCCAGCUAAUUUUUGUAUUUUUAGUACAGACAGGAUUUCACCAUGUUGGCCAGGACGGUCCCAAUCUCUUGACCUCGUGAUCGGCCCUCCUCGGCCUCCCAAAGUUCUGGGAUUACAGGCGUGAGCCACUGCGCCCAGCCGGACUAUUUUAUCUUAAAGAGAGACUUGGAAGAGAGGCUGCUGGAAUCCCUAAAGUCUACCUGGAUCUGAUGUAAUCAUGUCUGGCUGACUCAACAGCAGCGGCUUGGAAAUAAAAUGCAAUACGGAACACCUGGAGAGAUGCCUCCUUCUCUUUGUCUAUCUUUCAAGCAUCCCAGACUCAACUUUUAAGAUGUCUCAGAUCUCAGGACAAGAGAAACACUUGCGUAAUGAUAAUCAUAAAAACAGUAAUAGCAGCAAUGCUAAUAAUAAGAAAAUGUAGGAAGAUGUGGGAAUUAGAAAUGAGCAUAUUAAUCUUGUAGCAUUUUGAAUGCACAUAGAACUCAAUCAAGUUGAACUUGACACAGAAAAAUAUACAGUAAUUUCGUGAGAAUGCAAGAUUGCUUUCCAACAAUUGUCACAAUCCACAAGAAAA